GACGAACGCUGGCGGCGUGCUUAACACAUGCAAGUCGAACGGUGACGAGGAGCUUGCUCCUCUGAUCAGUGGCGAACGGGUGAGUAACACGUGAGCAACCUGCCCCAGACUCUGGGAUAACAGUUGGAAACAGCUGCUAAUACCGGAUACGAGACGGAGAGGCAUCUCUACCGUCUGGAAAGUUUUUCGGUCUGGGAUGGACUCGCGGCCUAUCAGCUAGUUGGUGAGGUAAUGGCUCACCAAGGCGACGACGGGUAGCCGGCCUGAGAGGGCGACCGGCCACACUGGGACUGAGACACGGCCCAGACUCCUACGGGAGGCAGCAGUAGGGAAUAUUGCAAAUGGGCGAAAGCCUGAUGUAGCAACGCCGCGUGUGCGAUGAAGGUCUUCGGAUUGUAAAGCACUUUUUGGAGGGAUGAGGAAGGACAGUACCUCCAGAAUAAGCCUCGGCUAACUACGUG
rnacentral:rRNA from 1 species